ACAAACUUGGUCAUUUAGAGGAAGUAAAAGUCGUAACAAGGUUUCCGUAGGUGAACCUGCGGAAGGAUCAUUAUUGAACUUAAUAAUUGGUUUGGGUUUGUUGCUGGCUUCUUCAGCAAUGUGCACAACCCAGGCCACCUUUUUAUACCACUAGUGAACCUCUUGUAGACCUGAAGCCAAUCAAACAAGUUCGGAAAACUUGUUUGGAGAUUUGGAUUGCUGGUGCAGUUCAUGGCCAGCCUUUCUUUGAUUCAGGUUUAUGUUUUACAAACAACUAAUAUAUAUUUGGACUGUUGUGAAUAUGAAAAUCCUUUCAUAAAAUGAAAUACAACUUUCAACAACGGAUCUCUUGGCUCUCGCAUCGAUGAAGAACGCAGC
rnacentral:misc_RNA from 1 species